CUCUGCGAUGCACAGAAGGUUUUGAGCAGAUUGGAGUUGCUGACUCUUUGCCAUGUACCAAUGUAUGCUCUGAUGGUGGCUGCCUGCUCUUCAUCAGAACACUCUCCACAGCCAUGCACUAUAACAGAAAUCUACAUUGACAUUGUUCGUUACUGCCUUCAGGUAAACAGCAACAAAACAGAAGAUCUAAACACCUUCAUCAAAACCAAGAGAGAGGAAAUAUUGUUUUUGGCUGAAAUAGCUUUCAAUGCAACUCAGGGAAAAACUGUGAACCUGAAUGAAGUGCCCUGUAAAGACAGCUGUGUCCUUUCCUUCCUGAAACCACUUUUUAUCAAAGUCAGCCGAACUGAAACAGAAACUAGACACGUAUUCCUCCAUUACACACUGCAGGAGUUUUUUGCAGCCAUGUGGCUCUUAAAGAAUCCUGAUAAAAUCAGGAAUGUUUUUCAGCAGAGCCUCACUGAGGACAAGAAACACAUGAAACAUUUGAUCCCUUUCAUGUGUCGACUGUUGAACAAGAAGAGCCCAAGUUGGAUGAAGUGUCUGGUUCCAGUUGAGGAGCUCAACAGUACAUCUGACUGGUUCUUCAAGGAGCUCAUAACCACAUUUGUCCCAGAUGUGGUUGACACCGAAGACAGUGGGCUUGAUGUCGACACGUUGUUCUUAUGUCAGUGCUUGUAUGAGUCCCAGAGUCCAGAGGCAUGCAUCUACCUUCUAGACAAACUGGACUACCGUCUUGACCUCUGUGGAGAGAGUCUUGAUCCUUACCUCUGCUGUGCUGUGGCCUAUGUGGUCAAUCAGUCGAAGGGACGGAAAAUAUGGUUGAACCUUGAUGAUGUCACGAUAUCAGAGCGAGGAAUGAGACAACUGUUUGGAUGCCUUCAAAAUAUCCAAUGGUGUGACCCUUUGCCACAGCAGCUGUGGAAGAUUUUCCUUCUCAGUGAAGAACAGAUGGACUUUGUCAGCUUACUUAGCCUCAUUGAAAAUCAGCUGCACCUUCCAGUGGAGGGUAAAAAACAGCUGUUUGAAAGAGCUGUGGAAGUCAUGAAGAGGAUGACAACAAAUGUCAAUGUCUGCCUCUACUGGGACAGAGAAACUCCUGUCUGCCAGAGUCUGUGUGAGUCCUUAAUAGAGGCUUUGCCAUACGUCAGCUCACUCAGCUUUAGGAUGACCACCAGAAGUCCAGGUUUGUGGAACCAUGAGCAAUUCCAUGGGACACUGGAGAGGCAACAAAGGAGACUGUUACUGGAUUUAUGCCUGAAGGCAGCACUUCACAAUGAGCAAAGCUUCCCAAAUGCAGUGAAUAUGCUCCUCUCAUUGUUCCCUCAUCAAAGUGACUUAAGUAACCUCUAUCUCGAUCUGUACCAACAUGUUAGGAAUGAAGGAUUUUUGAGUAUCCUUCCAAAACUGAGGCUGCUUUUCCAGUCAUCUCCUUCAGUGUGGUCCAUAGACCUCUCAGAGAGAAAGACCUCCAUCCUCCUGGAAGUGCUGAAACUCCAAUCAGAGAAGAAACCAGUGGAGCUGACAGGCUGGUCACAUGAAGAGAGUGAAGUGAGGAGUUUCCUGCAGUGUCUGCCUUAUAUCUCACAGCUCAGUGUUGUGCCACUGUUAUCAGAAACUUCAGAAGAAAUCAGGUUCUUGGGGAAUCUGUUCUGUGCAGCAGCAGAGAGAGAAGAGCAAACAGGAGAGAAGAUACUGGAGCUGUUAUCAGUGUGCACAUACAAAACAUUUUCUCUAAAACAAAAAUGGUGUGAUUUCCUCCUGGACCUGUACUCUUAUGAGGCUAAAACAAGUUCAAGAGUGCUUCCAUCAUUACAGUCAGUUUUCCAGUCAACUCCUGCAGUCUGGUCCAUAGACCUCUCAGAGAGAAAGACCUCCAUCCUCCUGGAAGUGCUGAAACUCCAAUCAGAGAAGAAACCAGUGGAGCUGACAGGCUGGUCACAUGAAGAGAGUGAAGUGAGGAGUUUCCUGCAGUGUCUGCCUUAUAUCUCACAGCUCAGUUUCGUGCCUCAGUUACCAGAACCUCAAGAAGAACCCAGAUUCUUGGAGAUGCUGUUCUGUGCAGCAGCUGCAGAGAGGAAGCAGCAGAAACGAGAGAAGAUACUGGAGCUGUUAUCAUCAGUCUGCACAUACAAAACAUUCCCUCUCAAACAGAAAUGGUGUGAUUUCCUCCUGGACCUGUACUCGUAUGUGACUGAAACAGGUUUCAGAGUCCUUCCAUCAUUACAGUCAGUUUUCCAGUCUGGUCCUGCAGUCUGGUCCAUGGACCUCUCAGAGAGAAAGACCUCCAUCCUCCUGGAAGUGCUGAAACUCCAAUCAGAGAAGAAACCAGUGGAGCUGACAGGCUGGUCACAUGAAGAGAGUGAAAUGAGGAGUUUCCUGCAGUGUCUGCCUUAUAUCUCACAGCUCAGUUACCAGCCUCAGCUAUCAAGACCUUCAGAAGAAACCAGAUUCUUGGGGAAUCUGUUCUGUGCAGCAGCGGAAACAGACCAGCAGACAGGAGGAAAGAUACUGGACCUGCUUCCAUCUCUGUGCACUUUUGAAACAUUCCCUCUCAACCAGAAAUGGUGUGAUUUCCUGCUGGACCUGUACUCUUAUAAGACUAAAAUGGGCUUAGGUCCUCCUCCAUCAUUACAGUCAGUUUUCCAGUCAACUCCUGCAGUCUGGUCCAUAAACCUCUCAGAGAGAAAGACCUCCAUCCUCCUGGAAGUGCUGAAACUCCAAUCAGAGAAGAAACAAGUGAAGCUGACAGGCUGGUCACAUGAAGAGAGUGAAGUGAGGAGUUUCCUGCAGUGUCUGCCUUAUAUCUCACAGCUCAGUUUCGUGCCACAGUUAUCAGAACCUUCCGAGGAAAUCAGGUUCUUCGGGAAUCUGUUCUGUGCAGCAGCAGAGAGAGAACAGCAGACAGGAGAGAAGAUACUGGAGCUGUUAUCAUCAGUGUGCAGAUACAAAACAUUCCCUCUAAAACAACAAUGGUGUGAUUUCCUGCUGGACCUGUACUCUUAUGUGGCUGAAACAGGUCUGAGAGUCCUUCCAUCAUUACAGUCAGUUUUCCAGUCUGGUCCUGCAGUCUGGUCCAUAAACCUCUCAGAGAGAAAGACCUCCAUCCUCCUGGAAGUGCUGAAACUCCAAUCAGAGAAGAAAGAAGUGAUCUGACAGGCUGGUCACAUGAAGAGAGUGAAGUGAGGAGUUUCCUGCAGUGUCUGCCUUAUAUCUCACAGCUCAGUGUCGUUCCACUGCGGUCAGAUCCUGAAAAACAAACCAGGUUCUUGGGGAAUCUGUUCUGUGCAGCAGCAGAGAGAGAACAGCAGACUGGAGAGAAGAUCCUGGAUCUGUUAUCAUCAGUGUGCUGCUAUGAAACUUUCCCUUUUGAUGCCAAAUCCAUAGAUGAUCAAUAUCAUUGUGAUUUCCUCCUGGAUCUGUUCUCCCAUCUGAAGGACUGUGAGACUAAAACAGGUCUGAGAGUCCUUCCAUCAUUACAGUCAGUUUUCCAGUCAGCUCCUCCAGUCUGGUUCAUAAACCUCUCAGAGAGAAAGACCUCCAUC